GACGAACGCUGGCGGCGUGCUUAACACAUGCAAGUCGAGCGGUAAGGCCCUUUCGGGGGUACACGAGCGGCGAACGGGUGAGUAACACGUGGGUGACCUGCCCUCAGCUCUGGGAUAAGCCUGGGAAACUGGGUCUAAUACUGGAUAUGACUCCACGGUGCAUGUCGUGGGGUGGAAAGCCUUGUGCGGCUGAGGAUGGGCCCGCGGCCUAUCAGCUUGUUGGGGGGUGAUGGCCUACCAAGGCGACGACGGGUAGCCGGCCUGAGAGGGCGACCGGCCACACUGGGACUGAGACACGGCCCAGACUCCUACGGGAGGCAGCAGUGGGGAAUCUUGCGCAAUGGGCGAAAGCCUGACGCAGCGACGCCGCGUGAGGGAUGACGGCCUGG
rnacentral:rRNA from 1 species